rnacentral:rRNA from 1 species
GGAAUAUUGGACAAUGGGCGCAAGCCUGAUCCAGCCAUGCCGCGUGCGGGAAGAAGGCCUUCGGGUUGUAAACCGCUUUUGUCAGGGAAGAAACGCUCCGGGCCAAUACCCUGGAGUAAUGACGGUACCUGCAGAAUAAGCACCGGCUAACUACGUGCCAGCAGCCGCGGUAAUACGAAGGGUGCAAGCGUUAAUCGGAAUUACUGGGCGUAAAGCGUGCGUAGGUGGUUUGUUAAGUCUGAUGUGAAAGCCCUGGGCUCAACCUGGGAAUUGCAUUGGAUACUGGCAGUCUAGAGUGCGGUAGAGGGUAGCGGAAUUCCCGGUGUAGCAGUGAAAUGCGUAGAUAUCGGGAGGAACAUCCGUGGCGAAGGCGGCUACCUGGACCAGCACUGACACUGAGGCACGAAAGCGUGGGGAGCAAAC